GGUCGUGUGCGAGAGUGCCGCCCGGCUGCAGCUGAGCCAACUCAAGGAGCACUGCCUGAACUUCGUGGUAAAGGAGUCCCACUUCAACCAGGUGAUCAUGAUGAAGGAGUUCGAGCGCCUCUCCUCUCCACUGAUAGUGGAGAUUGUGCGGCGGAAGCAGCAGCCGCCCCCUCGCACUCCCUUGGACCAGCCAGUGGACAUUGGUAGGGAGCCCCGUUCCCCUUCCCUGGGGGCUGGGAGGGAUGGUGUUCAUCUGCGGCAGGAGAUUGGGAGCCAUGGAGAGCACCUGCCAGGCCCUUGGGGUGGGGGUGGGUGCCAUGGGACCCCAGAGUGCUCUCCUGGGUACAGGGAGGAAACAGAUGAAGGCAGAAGCCCCCAACCCAUGGGGCUUGCCACAGUGGGCUGUGUCCUGGUGACCUGGGAUUUCCUGAGCCAAUUUCUGGGGGUGGACAUGGGGCACCUCUUUCGGGCUAGGAUGUCAGGUCUGAUGGCCCAGGGUCACAGUGAUCAGUCUCUGGACUUCUCUUUGCUUGUAAUGUCACAGGCCCCUUCAUUCCCCCAGCUCU
rnacentral:sRNA from 1 species